AUUGAACGCUGGCGGCAGGCCUAACACAUGCAAGUCGAGCGGGGUUUUCGGACCUAGCGGCGGACGGGUGAGUAAUGCGUAGGAAGCUACCCGAUAGAGGGGGAUACCAGUUGGAAACGACUGUUAAUACCGCAUAAUGUCUACGGACCAAAGUGUGGGACCUUCGGGCCACAUGCUAUCGGAUGCGCCUACGUGGGAUUAGCUAGUUGGUGAGGUAAUGGCUCACCAAGGCGACGAUCCCUAGCUGGUUUGAGAGGAUGAUCAGCCACACUGGAACUGAGACACGGUCCAGACUCCUACGGGAGGCAGCAGUGGGGAAUAUUGGACAAUGGGCGCAAGCCUGAUCCAGCCAUGCCGCGUGUGUGAAGAAGGCCUUCGGGUUGUAAAGCACUUUCAGUAGGGAGGAAGCGUUGUGUGUUAAUAGUACACAGCGUUGACGUUACCUACAGAAGAAGCACCGGCUAACUCUGUGCCAGCAGCCGCCGCAGUAA
rnacentral:rRNA from 1 species